rnacentral:rRNA from 1 species
AGAGUUUGAUCCUGGCUCAGGAUGAACGCUGGCGGCGUGCUUAACACAUGCAAGUCGAACGGGAAACAAAUUAUUGAAGCUUCGGCAGAUCUAGCUUGUUUCUAGUGGCGGACGGGUGAGUAACGCGUGGGUAACCUGCCUCACACUGGGGGAUAACAGUCAGAAAUGGCUGCUAAUACCGCAUAAGCGCACAGCAUCGCAUGAUGCCGUGUGAAAAACUCCAGUGGUGUGAGAUGGACCCGCGUUGGAUUAGCUAGUUGGCAGGGCAGCGGCCUACCAAGCCGACGAUCCAUAGCCGGCCUGAGAGGGUGAACGGCCACAUUGGGACUGAGACACGGCCCAGACUCCUACGGGAGGCAGCAGUAGGGAAUAUUGCACAAUGGGGGAAACCCUGAUGCAGCGACGCCGCGUGAAGGAAGAAGUAUCUCGGUAUGUAAACUUCUAUCAGCAGGGAAGACAAUGACGGUACCUGACUAAGAAGCCCCGGCUAACUACGUGCCAGCAGCCGCGGUAAUACGUAGGGGGCAAGCGUUAUCCGGAUUUACUGGGUGUAAAGGGAGCGUAGACGGACGGGCAAGUCUGAAGUGAAAGGCAGGGGCUCAACCCCUGGACUGCUUUGGAAACUGUCCAUCUAGAGUGCCGGAGAGGUAAGCGGAAUUCCUAGUGUAGCGGUGAAAUGCGUAGAUAUUAGGAAGAACACCAGUGGCGAAGGCGACUCUCUGGACUGUAACUGACGCUGAGGCUCGAAAGCGUGGGGAGCAAACAAAAUUAGAUACCCUGGUAGUCCACGCCGUAAACGAUGA